AGGGUGGGCCACCUGAUCGCGGGGGGAGCCUCACGGUUCCCCCUGAGGAAAGUCCGGGCACCGUAGGGCAGGGUGCCAGCUAACGGCUGGGCGCGUAAGGCGACGGCACGUGCAACAGAAAGCAAACCGCCUAAGGAGGUCGUCCUCGGACGGCUUCCCGGUAAGGGUGAAACGGUGCGGUAAGAGCGCACCAGUGCCCCUGGCAACAGAGGCAGCUAGGUAAACCCCACUCGGUGCAAGGUCCGAUAGGGAGAGAGGGCUUGCCCGGCCCGCUACAAUCUCCGGGUUGACCGCUCGAGGCGCGCGGCGACGUGCGUCCCAGAGAGAUGAUCAGGCGGCUUCGCGCUUCGGCGCGCGGCCCGACAGAACCCGGCUUAUCGGCCCACCUGCGAU
rnacentral:RNase_P_RNA from 1 species